GGACCGGUAGCUCAGGGGUAGAGCAACCGGCUGCAGUUAAACCGCUUCCGGUAGGUCUCGCGUUCAAAUCGCGAUCGGUCCU
rfam:Aspergillus rambellii strain SRRC1468 contig00433, whole genome shotgun sequence.